GGCGCACGGGUGAGUAACACGUAUGCAACCUACCCAUAAGAGUGGGAUAGCCUCCUGAAAGGGAGAUUAAUACCGCAUAGGAUUAUAGAGAGGCAUCUUGAAAAUAAUUAAACAUUUAUGGCUUAUGGAUGGGCAUGCGUAGGAUUAGCUAGUUGGUGAGGUAACAGCUCACCAAGGCAACGAUCCUUAGGGGUUCUGGGAGGAAGGUCCCCCACACUGGUACUGAGACACGGACCAGACUCCUACGGGAGGCAGCAGUGAGGAAUAUUAGUCAAUGGGCGAGAGCCUGAACCAGCCAAGUAGCGUGAAGGAAGACUGCCCUAUGGGUUGUAAACUUCUUUUGUACGAGGGUAAAGUGAGCUACGUGUAGUUCAUUGCAAGUAUCGUACGAAUAAGCAUCGGCUAACUCCGUGCCAGCAGCCGCGGUAAUACGGAGGAUGCGAGCGUUAUCCGGAUUUAUUGGGUUUAAAGGGAGCGCAGGCGGGUUAAUAAGUCAGUUGUGAAAGUUUGCGGCUCAACCGUAAAAUUGCAGUUGAAACUGUUAGUCUUGAGUGUGGUGAAAGUAGGCGGAAUUUGUGGUGUAGCGGUGAAAUGCAUAGAUAUCACGAAGAACUCCAAUUGCGAAGGCAGCUUACUGUACCAUAACUGACGCUGAGGCUCGAAAGUGUGGGUAUCAAACAGGAUUAGAUACCCUGGUAGUCCACACAGU
rnacentral:rRNA from 1 species